CCAUCCACUUACAGUCCACCUUGAUUAAUGAGAUUUUAAAGUUGAGCCCUCUAAACCGGAAAGGAGAGAGUAAGACAUUUUUGAUCACUGAAAUAGUGAUCUAAAACAUCUUAUAUUACUUUACAAAGGUACAGUACUACAUUGAUAACUUCCAAAAGGAUAACAUUUGUACAUUUAAAGCAGGUUCGCAUUUAAGAAAAUGUACAUCGCAUUCUUAGGAAAUGUUUACACAACAUAAAAAAAUGACCAUGUAACUAAAACAAAUAUGAACCAUUCAACAAAAUGUUCAUGUGUUUCAAGAAAUAUGUUCGUG
rnacentral:lncRNA from 1 species